UCUUGGAUAGCUCAGUGGUUCGAGCAUGAGACUCUUGAUCUCAGGGUGGUGAAUUCGAGCCCCACACUGGGCA